CUGCAACUCGCCUGCAUGAAGUCGGAAUUGCUAGUAAUCGUAGGUCAGCAUACUACGGUGAAUACGUUCCCGGGCCUUGUACACACCGCCCGUCAAACCAUGAGAGUUGGCAACACCCGAAGUCGGUAGUCUAACCGCAAGGAGGACGCCGCCGAAGGUGGGGUUNAUGAUUAGGGUUAAGUCGUAACAAGGUAGC
rnacentral:rRNA from 1 species